rnacentral:lncRNA from 1 species
GGCACAGUAACGAACUAAUUCCAAGGAUUCAGUUCCAAUCGCAACCUCAAAGUACAAACACCUAGCAAACUAUGGUUUGAGUCUUCAACGGAACCCAUUUGGCAUAUUGGGUGAACACACAUCACACAAACAACUCUCCUCCGCUCGUGCAUAUGAGUGGACUGCACACCCAAACACCCUACGAAAACCGGAGAGUGCAUCACAUUUAAUGGAAGUAUAACUGCAUGUUU